ACGGUACUCAGUUCAGAUUGUAGGCUGCAACUCGCCUAUAUGAAGUUGGAAUUGCUAGUAAUCGCGGAUCAGCAUGCCGCGGUGAAUACGUUCCCGGGUCUUGUACACACCGCCCGUCACACCAUGGGAGUCGGGAAUGCCCGAAGCCGGUGGCCCAAUCGAAAGAAGGGAGCCGUCGAAGGCAGGCCGGAUGACUGGGGUGAAGUCGUAACAAGGUAUC
rnacentral:rRNA from 1 species